GUCCCUACGGGGGGCAGCAGUGGGGAAUAUUGCACGAUGGGCGAAAGCCUGAUGCAGCAACGCCGCGUGAACGAAGAAGGCUCUUGGGUCGUAAAGUUCUGUUCUGAGGGAAGAAGAAAGUGACGGUACCUCAGGAGAAAGCCCCGGCUAACUACGUGCCAGCAGCCGCGGUAAUACGUAGGGGGCAAGCGUUAUCCGGAUUUACUGGGUGUAAAGGGAGCGUAGACGGCGCGGCAAGUCUGAAGUGAAAGGCAGGGGCUUAACCCCUGAACUGCUUUGGAAACUGCCAUGCUAGAGUGCUGGAG
rnacentral:rRNA from 1 species